UACGUAGGGUGCGAGCGUUGUCCGGAAUUACUGGGCGUAAAGAGCUCGUAGGUGGUUUGUCGCGUUGUUCGUGAAAACCGGGGGCUUAACCCUCGGCGUGCGGGCGAUACGGGCAGACUUGAGUACUGCAGGGGAGACUGGAAUUCCUGGUGUAGCGGUGGAAUGCGCAGAUAUCAGGAGGAACAUCGGUGGCGAAGGCGGGUCUCUGGGCAGUAACUGACGCUGAGGAGCGAAAGCGUGGGGAGCGAACAGG
rnacentral:rRNA from 1 species